UUGCCCUCCAUAGCUGAUGGAACUGAAGCUCUGAUGGUGAUGACCGGAGACAGAGAGAGGGGGUGUUCUGAUGGGGAAAGGAAGAAUGAAUGGCCCCGUGGAUGUGGAGGGGGCCUUCUUAUAUAUUGAUGGAUGCAAAGCUAGAGGAUGAAGUCAACCUUCUCAUGGAGUACUGCUUGUUGUUGGGAAUGGAAGUUCCCCCCAUGUCAUUUUCAUACCCAUAAAUUAAUAUCAGUAGCUUUGAUCAAGAUUCUGCUC